rnacentral:rRNA from 1 species
AACGAAGUGAAUUGAAAUAUCUUAGUAACUUUAGGAAAAAAAAUCAAAUGAGAUUCUAUGAUUAGUGUGAAUGAAAAUAGAUCAGCCACAGUUUAUACAUGUUAUUUAUAGGUCAAAUAAACUAAAAAGAUGAUGAGUUUAUUAAUAAUAUGUGUAGAUGAUACAAGUAAAACGAAGUACACAUUUGUUUGAAAAUAGGGGACCCUUCCUCUAAGGCUAAAUAUAAUGUAUAAGCGAUAGUGAAAGUACCGAGAGGGAAAAGAUAAAAUAGUAAUUCUAUAAGCAGCUCGAAUAUAAGGUAAUUAAAUAUGAGAGCGUACCUUUUGUAUAAUGGGUCAGCAAGUUAAUAUUAGAUGCGAGCUUAAAAGGCGAAGAUAAACUAAUUAUGAUCUACUGAUAAGUAUCUAAUAUUAGACCCGAAGCCUAGUGAUCUUACCAUUAUCAGGAAUAAAGUCCGAACGGGUUAUUGUUGCAAAAAUAUCCGAUGAGUAAUGGUAAGUGAGUGAAAGACAAAACUGACUAGGAUAGCUGGUUUUCUACGAAACCUAUAUAGGUAGGCAGUUUAAUAAUAUCCAAGCAGGUACAGCGAUGUAAUCUUAAUACUCGACCUAAUAACUUUAGUAUUAUUGCGGGGACUUAAAAAUCUUACAAUUAAGUAUUUGCACUCGGAAGGGCUAAGAUAAAUAUUAAAUUGUCAGACAUAGUACGAUAAGGUUGUAUGUCUAAAGGGAAACAGCCCAGAACAAGAGCUAAUAAGGUUCCAAAAUUAUUGUUAAGUGAAAUGAAGGCAGUGUUUAUCAAAUUCGGCUAGGAAGUGGGCUUAGAAGCGGCCAUCUUUCAAAGAUCUCGUAACAGAGCACUAGUUAUUUAGAUAAGGGCGCCUAAGAUUUAACGGAUCUAAACAAUAUACCGAAACCUUGUCCAUAUAUAGCAAUAUAUGGGGUAGUAGAACAUAGGGUAAGUAUUAGACUUUAUUUUUUUAAGAAUUAAAAAUAUACAUCCCUACAGAUAAUGCUGACAUGAGUAACGAAAAAGGAAUAAAAACCUCGCCUUAAGCUUAUGGUUUUUUCAAUGUAACGGCCACUAAGUAUCAAUUCUAAAGAAUUAUACGAUGUAAAUAGCAUGAUUAUAAGAUAAAUAACACAUUAUAGUGUAAUGUGUUCAGGAAAAACUUAAGAUUAAUUUAACCGUACCUAAAAUCUAACACAAGUAAGCUAGUAGAGCAUACGAAGGCGUUUGAGUGAACAAUUAUAAAGGAACUCGGCAAAAUUGCUCCGUAACUUAGGGAGAAGGUGCGCCACUUAACUUGAUUAAUAUCAAGAAAAAUGGAGGAGGCAUAGAAUAGUGUUGUACGACUGUUUAAUUAAAACAAAGCACUUCGCUAAAAAGAUAAUUUGAUGUACGAAGUGUGAGCUCUGCCAAAUGCCGGCAGGCUAUGGUAUUUUACUUAACCUAAAAAGUUAGGAUUUUAAGGAAUCCCCGGUUAAUGGCGGCCUUACAGAUGAGGGUCCUAAGGUAGCGGAACACCCUGGCCGUUAAAUGCGGUCUUGCAUGAAUGAUUUAACGAUACAACAGCUGUCUCUAUAAUUGGCUCAGUGAAAUUGGAAUAACUGUGAAGAUACAGUUUACCUCUAGAUAGACGAGAAGACCCUAUGCAGCUUUACUGUUACUAGUUAUAGGGUAUAAUAAGUAGGUUUUAGAGUAUAAGGUAAUUAAUAUAAUAAUGAAACACCUUUAUCACACUGUUAUACUUUUUACCUUUUUUUAGGUACAAUUGCUGGAAGACAGUUUAUGCGGGGCACAGAUCCCAUAAAAAGUAACUGGGAAUAUCCAAGGUAAAUUAAGUAAAUUUCUAUAAGUAAGUUAUAUAUAAUUUACUUAUUAAUUUAACUUGUAAUUAGCUAUAUUAAUAUUUCUAAUCCAAUUAUUAUUCUAUUUAGCAUAGAAUUACAUAUUUUAAGUGAGAUUUUAACUAUCAAAGCGUAGUGAUAGUAUUAACAUUAUUUUAUAGUGGUGUUUUUUGUUAUUAAUUAGUAUUAAUGAUUUUUAUUAAUAUCAGACAAAACUGAAUGGUUUAAUCUUGCUAUACUGUUUAACUUACAAGUUAUUCAGUCGCGUAACGCGGGGCAUACGAUCACAAGAUGCGGAAAGGAAAGGUCUUGGGUUGUUGAAAAAGCUACGCUAGGGAUUAAGUCUUAGUCCUCCUAUGUAAUAUAAUUACAGGUUAUAUACUGGAUAAAUUUCAAAGAAUACUUUACAGUAGAUUUGAAGCGAAACAUCUAUAGAACAGGCUUAUUGCGCAAGAGAGUACAAAUUGAGUGCGCAGUUUGGCACCUCGAUGUCGGCUUAGCUUAUCCACAUGAAUGCAGGAAGCAUGAAGGGUCGGACUGUUCGUCCGUUAAAAAGCUACACGAGCUGGGUUAAAUACGUCGUGAGACAGUAUGGUUUCUAUCUUCUAGAGGAAAUUAGAGUAAAAAAGGAAUAGCCGCAUUUUACGAAAGGAACUGGGCAAUGUUAACCCUGGGUUAACAGUAUGUUAACCUCUUGUAUACCUGUUGUU